rnacentral:rRNA from 1 species
UACGUAGGGUGCGAGCGUUGUCCGGAAUUACUGGGCGUAAAGAGCUCGUAGGUGGUUUGUCGCGUUGUUCGUGAAAUCCCACGGCUUAACUGUGGACGUGCGGGCGAUACGGGCAGACUGGAGUACUGCAGGGGAGACUGGAAUUCCUGGUGUAGCGGUGGAAUGCGCAGAUAUCAGGAGGAACACCGGUGGCGAAGGCGGGUCUCUGGGCAGUAACUGACGCUGAGGAGCGAAAGCCAGGGGAGCAAACGGG